rnacentral:lncRNA from 1 species
AUCAAAAGCUAGCACACCCAGUACAAAUAUGAAUAUGAAGCACAAACGUCAUUUUAUUACAUCGAAGAUCCAAAGUUCAAUUUAUUACAACUCUCUCAGCUGAAGGCUGAGUUACAUAGCGGAAGCAAAUAACAUAAUAAUAAUCCUGAGCCUAUCAGUCGCCACAAGGCUAGUUGAGUGUAGCUCCGUAGCCCUAUCUCGUCACUCAUCAUCUGCACAUGACACGUACAGGUAAGUACUUUGAAUGUACUCGCAAGUUGCAACAAGAGUGAUAACAAAUAUUCAUGCUGGGUUGGUGUCUAGGAUUUAUUUGCGAAAAGCCAAUUUUUCUCCUAGAAUAUAAACAAAAUAAAUAAAACGAGUUUUGAUAAACAUUUUUUUAAACAUAGAGUUUAAGUGAAUACUUGGAUAUCCGCACCAAGAUUCAUAAAAAAUAAUUUUCUCCUUUAGGUUGAAGUAAAACACCCCACUGUGUUUAACUUCCACCUAACCCUUUAUAAAAUAGCUUUGAGAAAAGAGAGGGGAGAUUCUUCUUCAGUCCAAGUCUUCAGUUGCUCAAAAUUGCCCGUAACCGGGGGCACGGCUAAUCGAUUAGGUUAAACCCUCUGCAGAGGUCGUACACGUUCCCCACAUGACACAACCAACCCCGUUUACCGUUACACACUUGGGUGUACGACUAGGAGGAGAUUGUGACAAAGCCUUUCGUAACAGCCCCCUAUACCUGACCAAGCCGCCCGCAACUUAGGCAAUGAAAGCCCCUCUCUGAUGGCGGUCUUGAGGUAAGGGUUUUCCAAUAGUACUAAGCUAAGCCAGAGCCCAUAGUAGCAUGUGGCUGUACAAACCGUACUUGGAAGAUCUCAUUCCCCUGGACGACGGUCCCCACCAAAAACAUGUGUGCAAGGCCCCAGUCGGGCGCAUUCACUGCAAGACCCCGAUGGGCGCAAUCACUUGAAGACGCUCCCGUCAUACCAGUCCGCCCAGGGAGUAGAAGUAAAAAAAAUAGUUUUUGCUUUUUCAAAAUAUUUUCUAAAUCAUUGUUCCAAGGGAACAAGUUUGUAAUUUUCAAAAUAUUUGGUCCACCCCCAACUACAAGCAUGACUAAGCGUAUAGUCCAAUAGCAUUGGAUCCUAGGGCUUUACUACUAGCAAAAUAUUUCCAAAAACAACAAUAUAAAACCCUACACAUGCAUACUACUUGCUUUGAAAGUCAAUGCAAAAUUAAACACGGGAUAAAUAUGGUCAAGGUUGCAACUUGCCUUCUGACUCACAGCAACACGGUUCUACCUCCUCGUAGAAUUCGCCUUCGCACUCGUCGCAAUCUAAUGCAACAAAGUACUUAAGUAAGUCACUCCACAUAUCAAACAUUAACAUAACAAGUGAUCAAGAAAAACCAUCCAACACACAAUUCAUGUCAAACAACCCUAGCCAGUAUAUCCAUAUGAUUCGAGUUUAUGCACUUUGAUCGGUUCCUAUGUAUGGUUUAUAGUUCAUGUUAAUAAACUAAUUAAUAAUCCUAUAACUCUAAAUUUUUAUGACGACAACAACUAACCAGAAAGGUUUUCUACGGAUAAAUUUAAUGGUUUUAACAAUGAAACAAAUUUUAGUUUAACGAGUUUAUUAAACGAUAAUCAAAGGAGGUCAAAAUUAUGUAUUGUGCUAAAACAGUAACUAAACCUUACUAAAAAAUAUUCUAUGAGUUCUAGCAGAUUGGUAUGAUUCCAAGGACCAAUUUUCAUAUGUAAAACUUGUUCAUAUCACUCGCAGAAUAAAAGAUUCAGUAAAAAUACUCAAAUUAUCAUUUAAAUCAAAACGAAAUUUUAAUUAGCGUAAAAGUGAGAUUUCAAUAUUUUAUAAUAAACUAAAGGUCCUCAGCUAUCCAGGGAUAUCUUAUUUGUCAAAUUUGGAUAAGCGGUUUAAAAGGUGUGAUUUUUCUAAGUUGGACUAAAUUUCUGGAAAAGAAGCGAGGUAAGAAAAAGAGUCGCCACAUGGCAGAAUUCUAUAGGCUAAUACUAUGUCGUUUUUUUUUUACAGAAAGAGGGCUGGCCUCACCGGAGGAGUUGGCCGGCGAUGGACAACAAACUUGGCGUGCUCUCGCUCGAUGAUGCGGAUGUCUUCGGCAACGAAAGAGAGGUGGACGGAGUAGAGGAAGUCGAGGAAAACUUGCUGAACACCAAAACGCGCUUGGAACCGUCCUCUGGUGACCGUGAUGCGUCGCCGGAGUUGGGCGGAGCUCCGACCAGAUGCGUACUCCGGCUUAGUAAAACAAAGAAUCAACAUGUUAGGAUGGUGCCCAAGGUCGAGAUAUGAAGGAUGGAAGAGUUAGAAUGUCUGCUUCACCUCGGACUCGCCGGAACCUUGCCCGAACAGCACCAGCGUCACGCAACUCCGGUGAGCAAUUCACGACGAUGGGUAGGGGUAUAAGCUCCCGAAGGAGAGGGGUUCGGGCAAGGAGGGAGUUGUGAGGGGACGGGGCCUUUUAUAGGAUGCAGGGGAGGUCGGAACGUUGCAGGGCGUCGUCGGAAUUAUGGCGUCUUCAUGGCGGCUGUUUCCGGUGUUCUAAUGGCCAUUAGGGCGCGGUUUAGUGCGGGUAACGGAAGAGUAGAAGUUAGGGCAGAGUGGGGGUCCGUUCAGAGCGGAUUUGGGGCGAGGUAGAGGAGGGGAGGGGUCGGGCGCGAGUGGGGUGCGGGCGCUGGCUCGUUGCCUGAGUCUGACGAGAGGUUGAGG